UCCAGCCUGGGCGACUGAGCGGGACUUCGUCUCAAAAAAAAAAAAAAAUUUCACAAGUAUUUUUAAUCUAAAAAAUAAUCACUGUAUAUUUAUAUAUACAUAUAUAUUUAUAUAUACACAUAAUAUUUAUUUGGAUCAAUUGAUCCAACAGCUAAAAGUUAGAAAUAAUCUAUGCCCAUCAAUGGAUGAAUGCAUAAGCAAAAUAUGAUAUAUCUAUACAAUGGAAUAUUACUCAGCCUUAUAAAGGAGGUUCUAACAUGCUACCACAUGGAAGAACCCUGAGUGCAUUGCAGGGAGGUAAAAUAUCUUUUCCUUCUUCCGUUGUGAGUUCUUGCUGGGGGAGCCUUCUAACAGCAGCAACAACUCAUUCAGGUUCCUCAGUGUCCCCGCCGAAAUCUCACAUCGAAUUGCAAGUCCCAUGUGUCAGGGGAGGGCCCUGGUGGGAGGUGGUUGGAUCAUGGGGGUGGGUUUCCCCCUUGCUGUUCUUGUGAUAGUGAGUGAGUUCUCCCCAAGAUCUGAUGGUUUAAAAGUGUGGCACUUCCCCCUUCACGCUCUCUCUCUUUUGCUUCGCUGUGAUAAGACGUGCUUGCUUCCCUUUUGCCUUCUGGCAUGAUUCUAAGUUUCCUGAGGCCUCCCCAGCCAUGUGGAGCUGUGAAUCAAUUAAACCUAUUUUCUUUAUAAAUUACCCAGUCUCAGGUAAUUCUUUGUAGCAGUGUGAGAACAGACUAACACAGGAGUUAAGACUGCCGCUUUCCUCCAAGUCUAGGAAAGCAGCUCCUGCCUGCAAGUCUUAUGACCUGCUUAAGGGGAAAGCCAGAAGGACCUUCCUGCACAUGCUGUUUCUCAAAUUCCCUCAGCUUAAAAAAUUCACUAUGUCAAGGUGCCACAUUUUGGGGUAGUGGAUCCUGAAAACCUUUAUUACAUUAAGUGAAUUAACCUUGUCACAAAAAGAAAAAUGCUGUAUGAUUCCACUCAUAUGAGGUACUUACCUAGAGUAGAUAACUCAUCGAGACAGAGAGGAGAAUGAUGGUUGCCAAGAGGCUAGGGAGAGGGCUGAGUGGGGAGUUAGUGUUUCAUGGGUACAGGAUUUCAGUUUUGCAAGCUGAGUAGUUCUGGAGAUGGAUGGCGGUGAUGGUUGCACAACAAUGUAAAUGUAUUUAAUACCACUCAACUGUACACUGUAGGAGGGGGAAAAUGUUUCCUUCCACCCUUUUAGGUUCUCAACUAGGGCCUCUCUAACAAAACACUAAUUAACAAGGGAAAAACAAAUAGAAGUUUAUGAACAUGUAUACUUCAUGAAUAUGUGGGGAAGACCCAGGGAAUGAGUAACCCACAGAGUGACUUAAAAUUCAGGCUUACCUGUCAUCUUCAGCUAAGAACAAGAAAGAAGUGUGUGAGGAAAGCUGGUUAUGGGGAGGUGACUGGGAAAGGUAUGGUAAACAAGAGCAAGGCUUGUUCUGCAGAUUUCAGUCCUUGCUUUCUCCAUUCAUAAGAGUCUCUUGCACUUUAGAGUCAUUCCUGUCUUCCUGGCACAGAGAGAGACACCCCUACGAUAGGAGAUCUCUUUAUUAAAUGUAAAUUUACCUAACCAAAGGGUAACUUGUACUCUGUUUUCAGAGCUUCUCCUGUACCUGCAGUUUCUCACGAUAAUCAGCUCACAAUAGUCCUUAUGCCAAAGAGGCAUGUGUGGAGGUGCCAUAUUCUGGUCUCCUACAACAUUCAGUAAUGGUCAAGAUGGUUGAUGCAGGAAACAGAUGGAGGGGCAGAAGUUGAUACUCAUCUCAUUAGAUCCAAAGAAGCCAAAUGGUGGCCAUCACCUGUGACAUGAAGAGGGUAUAUUUUAUGGAACUGGACAGCUUUCAGAAUCACAAGCAACCUCUUCAAAAUGUGAUCUACUGAAACGUGCUUGAAAGAGAGAAUAGGAGUGAGGCGGGCAAAGGAAGCAGAAGCCAUUGUGAACUGCCCUAGAGAAACCUUGGGCAUCUUUUUGUUGGGCAAAGUGGUAGAGGCUGAAACGGGGAAUAGCAUGUAACAUUUUAUUUGACUGAAAUAAACAGCUGUUUGUUUUUUUUUUCUUUCAUAUGUAAGAUAGACAAAAGGUGUUUGACAGAUAAGGAUUGGGGCAAUGUUGGUAUGAGUUCAGCUUUUUAGUUUGUUCUUUAAAAGUGGCCAUCAAGAUGUGGGUGUAAGGUAUUUCACAGUGAUUUGCAUUCAUUCUCAUUGCUGUCACCAUCAAGGCCCAGUUACUCAAUAUCCAAGUUUGUUUUUGUUGUAAUUCAAACAAAAUAAAUACAAGUAGCAGGGCUUUCCAUCCUUCCUGGGAAUAUUGUGUGGGUGCAUCUCAGUGAAUGCCAACUGCUUUCAAAUAAAAUGUGCCAUCUGAAGGAGCACAGUUUCCACUCCAGACCUGCAUGUACAAGACGCAAAACAAGGCACUAGCUGGCUUAGGGGAGUCAUGCCUGAGAGAACGAGUUGUAUAUAAAACUCUGCUGAGGCUGAAAAUAGCACAGAUAUGAAAGACAGAAGCAAAAGAUAUCGGGUGUCCUAAAGUGCCAGAUGCCCAGGUCACUUAAAAGUGGAUGACUCAGAGUCACACAGAGUAGCAGCAUGCUGGGAUCUUUGAGGAAAGCUGACCAACCACAGAGAAGGAAAGGCAAAGUGAUUCCGCAGAGAAUUGAACCAAAUACAAAUUUGCCUUUGUUUUUCAUCCCACAGAAUUUCCUCUUCACCCAUGAGGUUUAUAGCUAUUUUCACAUGACCAUCCACUGAAAGGAAAAUAAAUCUGAUCCUGUCCCAUCUACUCGAAAUGCCUUGUCCUUAGGCCACUCAGCUUGAUCCUCGUAAUAAAAUCACAUAGAAUGGAAUACAUUUUAAGGCAAAAAUGUGUAUGGCUAAUUAGGAUAUUUAUGUAUUGAUAAGAUAAAGAUAGAUGAGAUGCUGGGAGAAUAAAAUAAUUAUAAAUCUUACAACAUCAUGUCAAAGUAUAUGGUAUAUGGUCAAAGUAUAUGGUAUAAAACUACAAAACUGCUAGAAAAAAAUUACAAAAUUAUGAGAGAACUUGCACCUCUUUCAAUCAUGGGUAGAAAAGGCAGCAAAAAAGUUAAUGGGAAUUUAGAAGAUUUAGGCAACAUAAUAAUGUUGAUUUGGUACAUGUAUAAGCCUGAAACUAACAGAUGAUAUAAAACCUUAUGGAUGCCACUGAACUGUGAAAUGUACACAUAAAAAUGCUUAACAUAGCACAUUUUAUUAUAUAUAUCUAUAUAUUUUAUCACUGUAGGGGAUAAAAAAAUAUUUUUUUCUCAGUGAUUGCUAGGUUUAUGCCUGAGGCCUCCCUAAUAACGGAAAGAUUAACAAGAGAUAAACACACAAAUUUGUUUAAUAAAAGUUUCAUUGGAUAUAGGAACCUUCACAAGAAAAUGAAGAUCCAAAGAAACAGGUAAACCUGUAUGCUUUUACAGGUUUACAGGGUGGCCGGCGCCUGCCCUCAGAAUGUUUGGAAACUAAGAAACAUACAUAAAAUAAUUCAAAAAAAAUUUAAAAAAAAAGGGAAAAAAGGAAAAAGAAAUCACAAGAAAUAUUAGAAAAUAUUUAGAAGAAAAUGUAAAUUCCAAGGGAAUAUUUGUGAAAUAUACAUAAAUCAUUCAAUAGAGGGAAUUUUAUAGCCUUAAAAUACAUGCACGAAGAAAUAAAUCUUUCCUGGAUUUCUUUUAUUCCUGCAAAAUUCUGGUUCCCUGAACCACUGAAAUGGAUAUAAUAUGAAGCUAGAGAAUGUUUUCCUUUCCCCCCAAAUAUUUUACUUUUUGCACGUCUUGAGUAUUAAACUGCGGUUAUUUGUCUUCUUUUAGUUGGAACUAAUUCCCUUCCAUCUAAAGGAAAACAAAAGUGUUUUUUUAAUUAAAAAAUUUUAAUUUAUUUUUCUUCU
rnacentral:lncRNA from 1 species